GCUGAGGUAAAGCAGGCAGAGAUCAACAACUACUCAAAACACCCCUGCUCGUAGGAAAAGUCAAAGGUAUUUAUGAUAUGAUAAUUUCUUAUUCUUAUCAUAAAUAUAUUUCUAAUCAAAGAAGACAUCUUUCAAGUAAGUAAUCCUAAUCUCAUUAAUUUAAGAUAUUUACCUAAUUACUCCAAGAUAUUUAUUUACACAAAUAUUUUGGAAUUUUCUCACCCAAAAUACCACCUAGGGCCAGCCACCCUUAAACCCUAGAAGGGCGGCCUAUACUCCCCUCAUCUCCUAUAAAUACCCACUUUGUCUCCAAAAUUCAGGAAGCUUUUGCUACCAGCAAACUUCUAAACACAUUAUUUUCAGAAUUUUAACUUUAGCAUCAGAGAUUCUUCGCCCAAAGCCCCCCUUCAUUUUGGACGUGUGAGGUUUUUGGCCUUAAUCUUAAGUGUUAUUAUUUUGCAGGUGCAUAUUCAUCAAUCAAAAGAAGGCAAAAAUUUGCAUCCACAACAAUAUUGUACUCAUUUGGUUAAUUCAAUGUUCUCUAUAUUGUUGUGCUAGUGUCAAGGUUCAAACACUGUUCAUUUCAUAUAAGAACAAUCAAACCCGUGCAUUUACUCGCAAAUACCACAUUAACAAUUACUUAUUUAUAGAAUUUACAUGGAGAAGUUGGUAAAAGUAGGAGAUAACUUUGUAAAAAUUAGAAAUUAUUAAAAAUUUCAAGAUAAAUUUCAAAAAAAAAAAAAGAUAAAAAAUGCUAAUCUUACAACAUAUUUGUACCAUCAUUUGUAUUCUCUCCUUAAUAGAGAUGAGACUCAUAUGUAUUGGUGGACUCUACUUAUAUUAGAAAGAGAAUAAUGCUAGGGAGACUAAAUUUUUAAACCAAAUUAUGUGUCACAAAAAGGAAAUAAACACAUUGAUCAACACUUAAUAAUCCAAUCAUCAACCAUGCACCACAUCAUUUGGUUUAAAAGUUUUGGUUUCUCUAGCAUUACCCAGAAAGACAACUGGCCCUUUAACACAGUGGUAGAAAGAUAUUGAGCCAUUGCAUGAUGACGUAGGUUCAAACUUCGUUGAUGGCUAAUCUAACAAAAUAUAUCGUUUGAAAAAAAAAAAAAACCAGCAUUACCUAGAGAGAGAUGGUACCAAUAUAUAAUUGGGAGUUUUAACGAAACACUCCCGAUACUGUUCACUUUAACGAAAAAAACAUUUAUACUCUAAAAAGUCAAUCCUGGUACUAUUCACUUACAACACAUUUUUGUCAUUUUGAUUAAAACUCAAAGUUUUCAAACAAUUUUCAUUAGUUUUCCUUAUAUAAUAUGUGUAAUAUUACUCUAGAUAGAUAGACAAAUAUUCUCCCACUCCGUGACCAAUGGCCCUCUCCAAAAAAUUUUAGCAAAUUUAACCACACAUACAACUGGACACACAUGAGAGAAAAUGUUAAAUUUGAAUAUCUGAACCAAAUGCAAAGAAAACCUCAAGUGUUGUGCUUUGUUGGUACCUCAUGAAAACACAAUACCAUAAAAGCACAAGGGCAUGUAUGUCAAAAUCCAAAGUUUCAUAUUUAUUGUUCCCCUAACCCAAUACAAAAACAAUUAUUAAAAUAAAGGGUUAAACUCUGUUUACUACCCUCAUGUUUCGUGGUUUUCAACAUUUAGUACAUCAA
rnacentral:lncRNA from 1 species